CAAGUUGGCUGAGACUCGGGGGGAGAGGACAUAGAGCCCACUUCUCCAUGACAUUUGCUCGGACGGGGGGUCCCAACUGCCCCAAUAGCUUUGGACAUCCCAUGUGCAUUGCUUGAAUGAGCAGGACCCCAGGGUUCUUCCAGAGGAGCAGAAGUCUCAGGGUGUCAUGGUGAGUCAAGAAACAUUUUGGCUCAUGGUUACAAAUUAUGCGUUUACUGUAUUCAUCUUCGUGCAUGCACACAUGCAAUGUUUUACAAAGCAUCUGUUGAGUGUCUACGGCACAACACACACGUUCUGGUGCUGGAGAUCCUGCCCUGGCUGAGCUUCUGGACCUGGUGGGGAGAAAUCCACAAUGAGUACUGAGACGACCGGCAAAAGCCCGGUGAAGGCACCUAGGAGUAGGGCCUGCUUACCCUGGAGGAGUCGGGAGCAGCUUCCACAGCAAGGAGGCUUCUAAGGAAUGAUCUCCAGUGCCCAGGCUCUGAUGCCCAACAGACCUGAAGUUACAUCCCAACCUGAACAGGCGGCUUUUGCUCUCCAGGCCUUCAUUGCCCCACAGUGGGAACAAUAAUAAUAUGCACCUUCUAGGUACCCAAAAGCACAAGAGACAGUGAACGGAAAGUGCUUGGAAGCCCCGUGCCCAGGUGGUGCUGGCCCCAGCUGAACUGCGGGGAUAGAUGUUGAGUGUCCAGGUUCUAGCAUCAUAGAACAGAAUCCGGCCUGUUGGGAAAUCCUGCCUACAAGUAUACCUCCAUUAAUUAGUGUCUUCUGUGAACAUUUUUAUUAAAAAAAGAAGAAAAGCUUCUCAACCCAAG
rnacentral:lncRNA from 1 species